rnacentral:tRNA from 1 species
GCCCGGUUAGCUAAGUUGGUAGAACAUGAGAAUCUUAAUCUCAGGGUCAUGGUUUCAAGCCCCAUGUUGGGUG